UACGAAGGGGGCUAGCGUUGCUCGGAAUUACUGGGCGUAAAGCGCACGUAGGCGGAUCUUUAAGUCAGGGGUGAAAUCCCAAGGCUCAACCUUGGAACUGCCUUUGAUACUGGGGAUCUCGAGUCCGGAAGAGGUUGGUGGAACUCCGAGUGUAGAGGUGAAAUUCGUAGAUAUUCGGAAGAACACCAGUGGCGAAGGCGGCCAACUGGUCCGGCACUGACGCUGAGGUGCGAAAGCGUGGGGAGCAAACAGG
rnacentral:rRNA from 1 species